GACGAACGCUGGCGGCGUGCUUAACACAUGCAAGUCGAACGAAGUGGCGAACGGGUGAGUAACGCGUAAUCAACCUGCCCUUCAGAGGGGGACAACAGUUGGAAACGACUGCUAAUACCGCAUACUGAAGGAGGGGAUUGAGUCUGAUUAGCUAGUUGGAGGGGUAACGGCCCACCAAGGCGAUGAUCAGUAGCCGGUCUUGUGGGAAGAACCGCCAAAAUGGGACUGGGGCACGGCCCAAGCUCCUUCGGGAGGCAGCAGUGGGGAAUCUUCCGGAAUGGACGGAAGUCUGGCGGGGCAACGCCGCGUGGGUGAAGACGGCCUUCGGGUUGUAAAGCUCUGUUUAUCGGGGCGCGGUACCGGAAUAGAAAGCCACGGCUAACUACGUGCCAGCAGCCGCGGUAAUUC
rnacentral:rRNA from 1 species